rnacentral:rRNA from 1 species
GCAGUCGAGCGGAUUGAUGGGAGCUUGCUCCCAUCAGUCAGCGGCGGACGGGUGAGUAACACGUGGGUAACCUGCCUGUAAGACUGGGAUAACUCCGGGAAACCGGGGCUAAUACCGGAUAACUCAUUUCCUCGCAUGAGGAAAUGUUGAAAGGUGGCUUUUAGCUAUCACUUACAGAUGGACCCGCGGCGCAUUAGCUAGUUGGUGAGGUAACGGCUCACCAAGGCGACGAUGCGUAGCCGACCUGAGAGGGUGAUCGGCCACACUGGGACUGAGACACGGCCCAGACUCCUACGGGAGGCAGCAGUAGGGAAUCUUCCGCAAUGGACGAAAGUCUGACGGAGCAACGCCGCGUGAGUGAUGAAGGUUUUCGGAUCGUAAAACUCUGUUGUUAGGGAAGAACAAGUACCGUUCGAAUAGGGCGGUACCUUGACGGUACCUAACCAGAAAGCCACGGCUAACUACGUGCCAGCAGCCGCGGUAAUACGUAGGUGGCAAGCGUUGUCCGGAAUUAUUGGGCGUAAAGCGCGCGCAGGUGGUUCCUUAAGUCUGAUGUGAAAGCCCACGGCUCAACCG